AACUUCCUCAUUAAUUCCCUUCUUUUCGAAACAACCAAGCUCAUCAUUAAGUCCUCCUCUGAUUGAUUGCUUUCUUCUCCUCUUAUGUAAAUUCCAAUUUUUUCAAACCCAAAUUAAUUAUUCCCUUGAACACUUUUCAUAUUCUCCAUGCUCAACUUUCAUAUAAUUGAUGGCACCGCCCCUUCCAUUAUUCCUUUGAACACUUUCAAAUUCUCCAUGCUCCACUUUCCUGUAAUCAAUUGCACCGCCCCUUCCAAUUUCCCAAUUUCCUUCCCACGUCCCAUUAAUUCAUUCAUAUUGGAAUUUUGAAUUUUAUCUUUCUCUAUUUGUGCCCAAUGAUUAUUGAUUAUUGUUCAUUCCCACUAUUUUUUCCUUCUGAUCAACCACAUUCAUUUGUUGAUUCUACUUCUGUUUUUAUAAUUCCUGUUGAAAUUCAAAUGUUUCAACCCUGAAACCCUUCUAUAUAAAGUCCUUCCUCAACAAACUCACUAUGUGCUUUUCAGAUUUCAAAUUUGAAACAACAUUUCAAAAUUUCCAAUGAAUCUCUUCACCUACCUCGGAAGCAAAUUCUCUCACUCUCUUUAAUGUCCCCUUUUCAAGUCUUUUUCUUCCUCUUUAUCUCCAUAUUAGAACCCUCCCCAUGUAUCUAGAAUCAGAACCCUUCUCCCCAAUCCACACAAUCAACCGCUUCAAACCCUCCUCUCCUUAAACGCGAAUCUGUUUCUCGCAGCUUCAUGGACACCAUAGGUUCUUCUCUUAUUGAAAUAGAAGCAGAUUCAGGUGAUGUGGAGAAGUGCCAAAGGGAAGGAAAAUAACAAGUUUUACUGAACAAAAUUAACUUUUGUUAAAUAUUAUGAUAUCUCAGUUCUCAGCAAAUGUCUUCAGAGGAACAUGCUUUUGCGUCUUAUGGCAUUCCUGAUCUUUUUAAGGACUGUAUAGUUUUCUUACCAAGAUUGGUUUUCAAGUUUAGAAAUAAAAAAUCAUCAGUUGGAUUUCCAAGCAUGUAAAAAAAGAGGUUCAUUUUCCAUUUCCAGUCUUUUCCAAGCAUGUAAAUAAACGACAUUGUUUUUGAAAUGAGAUUCUUGAUUUGGAUGUCUAUUGUACUGUAUCUUGCAUCGUUGAAGUUGUUGUUGGUGUUUAAUAUCUAUGAUUUUAGUUAUGGUUAUGGAUGUCUUUGAUAUUUAUGGGUUUUGGUUCAAAUGAGGUGUUAGCUAAUUGGGUAAGGUGUGGAAAUUGAUGGGAUUUCUUCCCUGGAGUUUUUCAAGAUAAUCUAUUGGAUCUGCCCCCCUUAUUGUCCAAUAAACGAUGUUCAUUCCCACUAACAGACCCUACUGCCCAAUUAUUAAAAACCCCAAAUUAUAUUUACAUUUUCUUAAACCCUGAAGAAGUCCAAAUGUUGCACUGGCUGGAUAAUUCUAUAUAAGACCCUUAUUAGUUCUCAUCUGCUCAUCAGUCCUCUUGCCACCCCGUCUUCCUUUUUCUAAUCUCUGUUGUUUGAAAAAAUUUUGCAAUGGCUUUCAAAGUGGAUGAUGACUUAACAAUUGACACAUCCUACCCUUCCAAUGGAACCGUCACGGUGGAAUUAUAUGCAGGAGUGAUUUCUUAUAGAUUAAAAUAGCAGGGAUGUUCAUCUCAAAAUCCGAAAAUGAGCAGACUCAAGAAAAGGAAGUUGAAGUUGAUGGAAAUAUGAAAGUUGUUGUCCCAGUCAAUGGCAACUCUCAGGACUCCCUUCAAGCCGAGGAUCAUGAUUCUCCUCCUUCUAAAUGUCUCAUCCCUAUUGACGCUGAAGCCAUUGCAACUGAUUUAGCAAGCAGGAAGCCAUUAAAGAUUGUCAAGGAGAAAAUGUAUUGUUAUUGAUAUUGCUUUUAUUUUUUGAUGUAUUUUGUUGGUUCUUUGAGCCGUGGUUACCCUUUUAAGAUCCUUGAUUUAGUUUUUCUUCUUUUCUUUGUUUUCUAUUUCAAGUUGCUCUAUGAGCUGUGUACCUUGAUGUAAUGAAUGUUUCAACUGAUAUUAUGUUCAUCCUUUUGUUUGAUGCAAUGGUUAUAGUUGUCAAUUA